UUUCCGUAGGUGAACCUGCGGAAGGAUCAUUAAAGUUAUAGUCCCCCGGCCCUCUGGGCUGGGGUCUUCUAUACCACCCUUUGUUUAUUACACCUUUGUUGCUUUGGCAGGCCUGCCCUCGGGCUGCUGGCUCCGGCCGGCUCGCGUCUGCCAGAGGACCUAAACUCUGUUUGUAUAUGAAGUCUGAGUACUAUAUAAUAGUUAAAGCUUUCAACAACGGAUCUCUUGGUUCUG
rnacentral:misc_RNA from 1 species